GAAAUGCGAUAAGUAAUGUGAAUUGCAGAAUUCAGUGAAUCAUCGAAUCUUUGAACGCACAUUGCACCUAUUGGUAUUCCGAUAGGUAUGCCUGUUCGAACGUCAUUAAAACCUUCAAGCUCUGCUUGGUCUUGGUCGAUGCGAACCUCGCACGGCCGCAACCCGUUGGCUUUAUCAACUUUACACAAGCGUAGCAAUGUUACCGUUUGCUGUAGCGGUUGGUGAGCGCCAUUCAAACUUAACUUCUUGUUAAACUUUCAAACUUGACUUCGGAUCAGGUAGGGAUACCCGCUGAACUUAA
rnacentral:misc_RNA from 1 species